rnacentral:rRNA from 3 species
GGUUAAGCGACUAAGCGUACACGGUGGAUGCCCUGGCAGUCAGAGGCGAUGAAGGACGUGCUAAUCUGCGAUAAGCGUCGGUAAGGUGAUAUGAACCGUUAUAACCGGCGAUUUCCGAAUGGGGAAACCCAGUGUG